UACGUAGGGUGCGAGCGUUAAUCGGAAUUACUGGGCGUAAAGCGUGCGCAGGCGGUUCGUUAAGUUCGUCGUGAAAGCCCCGGGCUCAACCUGGGAAUGGCGAUGGAAACUGGCGGGCUGGAGUGCGGCAGAGGGGGGUGGAAUUCCGCGUGUAGCAGUGAAAUGCGUAGAUAUGCGGAGGAACACCGAUGGCGAAGGCAAUCCCCUGGGCCUGCACUGACGCUCAUGCACGAAAGCGUGGGGAGCAAACAGG
rnacentral:rRNA from 1 species